rnacentral:lncRNA from 1 species
GAUAACGCAGCAUCUCCUUCUUCUCCUCCUUUACCUUGCACUGUCCAGAGCAAGACUAACACCUUACUUCCUCCCCAACCCCCACCUAUUCCCUCAGCUAAAGGAAAAGGAAGUGGAGGAGUAAAAACAGCCAAGCUAUACGCCUGGGUAGCACUGCAGUCAUUACCAGAAGAAAUGGUUAUUAGUCCUUGUCUAUUGGACUUUCUUGAAAAGGCUCUGGAAACUAUCCCAAUUACACCAAUAGAAAGGAAUUAUACAGCAGUCAGCUCACAAGAUGAAGACAUGGGACAUUUUGACAUCCCAGAUCCUAUGGAGGAAUCAACAACAUCCCUAGUGUCAUCUUCAACGUCUGCGUACUCUUCCUUCCCUGUGGAUGUCGUUGUUUAUGUGCGA